UCGGGAAUUUUGGGCAAUGGGCGAAAGCCUGACCCAGCAACGCCGCGUGAGGGAUGAAGUAUUUCGGUAUGUAAACCUCGAAAGAAUGGGAAGAAUAAAUGACGGUACCAUUUAUAAGCUCCGGCUAACUACGUGCCAGCAGCCGCGGUAAUACGUAGGGAGCAAGCGUUGUUCGGAUUUACUGGGCGUAAAGGGCGCGUAGGCGGCGCGGUAAGUCACUUGUGAAAUCUCUGAGCUUAACUCAGAACGGCCAAGUGAUACUGCUGCGCUAGAGUGCGGAAGAGGCGACCGGAAUUCUUGGUGUAGCGGUGAAAUGCGUAGAUAUCAAGAGGAACACCUGGGGCGAAGGCGGGUUGCUGGGCCGACACUGACGCUGAUGCGCGAAAGCCAGGGGAGCAAACG
rnacentral:rRNA from 1 species